rnacentral:rRNA from 1 species
UACGUAGGACGCAAGCGUUGUCCGGAAUCACUGGGUGUAAAGGGUGCGUAGGCGGGAAGGUAGGUCAGUGGUGAAAUCUCACGGCUCAACCGUGAAACUGCCGUUGAUACUGCUUUUCUUGAGUUUGGGAGAGGUCGAUGGAAUUCCCGGUGUAGCGGUGAAAUGCGUAGAGAUCGGGAGGAACACCCGUGGCGAAGGCGGCGCUCUGGUCGGCAUCUGACGCUGAGAGGCGAAAGCGUGGGGAGCGAACGGG